AGUGAACGCUGGCGGUAGGCCUAACACAUGCAAGUCGAACGGCAGCACAGUAAGAGCUUGCUCUUACGGGUGGCGAGUGGCGGACGGGUGAGGAAUACAUCGGAAUCUACUUUUUCGUGGGGGAUAACGUAGGGAAACUUACGCUAAUACCGCAUACGACCUACGGGUGAAAGCAGGGGAUCUUCGGACCUUGCGCGAUUGAAUGAGCCGAUGUCGGAUUAGCUAGUUGGCGGGGUAAAGGCCCACCAAGGCGACGAUCCGUAGCUGGUCUGAGAGGAUGAUAAGCAACACUGGAACGGAGACACGGUCAAGACUCCUACGGGAGGAAGCAGUGGGGAAUAUUGGACAAUGGGCGCAAGCCUGAUCCAGCCAUACCGCGUGGGUGAAGAAGGCCUUCGGGUUGUAAAGCCCUUUUGUUGGGAAAGAAAAGCAGCAGGUUAAUACCCCGCUGUUCUGACGGUACCCAAAGAAUAAGCACCGGCUAACUUCGUG
rnacentral:rRNA from 1 species